ACUCCAGGAUCCUCUGGAAUUCACUGUGGGAAACUCCACCAGUAGCUGCCACUGGAUCUGAGUCACUCUGGGCCUCAGGAGCCUCUCCAAACAAGCCUUGCUUGCUGCUGCUGCUCCAAGGGAUGUUGGACCUUCAGGAGGUGACAUCUGGAGCUCUGCAGGAUGUCACAGCUCUGGUUGGGAUGCUCCUGCUGCUGUCGCCUCUCCAAGAGAUGUUCUUCCCCCAUCUCCUCAAACCCUGUGUUUACAACAGACUGGUAAAAAUAAAAAUGGCCAGAAAAGGAGCGUUGGCACUGGUUAAAUUUAGAGAGCAGAUCCUGGGCAUCCCCUCCCUGUCUAGAUUUUCCCCGUCCUGGGGCAUCGUGGCAGCAAAGUGAUUUUCUCCAGAGUUACAACGAGGAUGCUUCCUAUAGCAGCAAACAAAACCCAAUUCACGCUCCUAUUAACAGCACUUCUCAAACAUCCUGAGCAAAAGCAAACACCCCAAAGAAACCCAGCACACAAAACCCUGCGGAAAGCAGCUGUUCCCUCCUUCAGAGGGGAGCAAACGUUGCUUGUUCCUUCGGAGAAGCACAACGAGGGGAGCUGCGAAGCGCUGAAAUUACAUCUUGUAAGCACUGCCUGUCACGCUCAGAGGCACCCCUGCAACAGCCAGAGCCAGCCUGGCAGCCCUGGGACUGCGUGUUCUCAUCCUGCCUAAUUAUUAAUAUGUUAAUUGGACAGUGGGAUGUUGUUCUUUGCGGAAAAUUCCCUGCGCCGCGCUUGGAUUAUUCUGGUUUUUUCCCCUCAGUCUGCUUCUCAGCGCGCAGAUUUUUUGAGCAGAGCCUGAGGGAUCUUUUUGCCCCAUCCCUGGAAGUGUCCAAGGCCAGGUUGGAUGGGUUUGGAGCAGGUUGGGAUAGUCAAGGUGUCCCUGCCCUGUCCCUGGAUGAGCUCUGAGCUCCCUCCAACCCAACCCAUUCCUGGAUUCUCUGAUUGCCUGGGCACUCCAAGAGAGUCCCAAGUCAGGAGAGCAUCAGGAAUAAUUCAUCAGCAGUACAUAGAUGAUCAUUCAGAUGAUAAUUCAUCAGCAGUGCUGAUAAUUUGGGAAUAUCCCACAACCUGAAGGCGGAAGGGCAUUGCCAUGGUUAUGUCAUUUCCUGGGGAUCCAGAGGGAAAAGAAUACCCUGACUGUGACUUUUUAACUUUAAAAUGUCACCAGGAGCUGUUGGGGGUGAAAAGGUGCUCUCACACAUCCCAGGUGUGGUGAUGAGUAAAAUCUCUUCAGGAUUGAGGCACAAAUUCACACCCAAAGCUCUCCUGGGGGCUCCCAGAUGGAAAUCUGUGAUGGCAUUCACAGGGGUCUUAUGUUGAAGGAAGAGACAAGGAUCUGACUCAGUAUUUCAGAAGGCUUGAUUUAUUAUUGUAUGAUAUAUAUUACAUUAAAACUAUACUAAAAGAAUAGAAGAAAAAGUUCUCCUCAGAAGGCUAGCUAAGAAUAGAAUAAAAAGGAAUGAAUAAGGUUUCUGUGACAAAGGUUUCUGUCUUGGACAGAGAGCCCAAGCCAGCUGACUGUGAUUGGCCAUUAAUCAGAAACAACCACAUGAGCCCAAUCCCAGAUGCACCUGUUGCAUUCCACAGCAGCAGAUAACCAUUGUUUGCAUUUUGUUCCUGAGGCCUCUCAGCUUCUCAGGAGGAAAAAUCCUAAGGAAAGAAUUUUUAAUGAAAAAUGUCUACAACAGAAAUCUGGGCUGGGAAGUGCCUCCCUUCAGCCCCCAUCUCCCCCAUUGCUCCUCACUGCCACCAGCACGAUGCUGGAUUUCAGGAGGGAGCAGCAGCCACUACAAAAAAAACCCAAAUUGUCCCUCUUUCGGAUUUUCCCUUCAAGCAGGUUGAUCCGAGACCCUGUUGAAACAGAAAUCAAAAACUUGCCAGACUCGAAAUAUUAAUUAAGAUACACAACAGGGAGAGAGGGGGAGAGGAAGGAGGGGGGCAUCCAUUCAGGAAUUAUCUGUUCCACGAGGCAGCGUUCGUGGCUUCCACACACAUCCAUCAUUUUUGGGAGGGGGAAAAAGCAAGAAAUUAAAUCCAGCCCCAGAGGAAGUUUGUCCACCACCAUGGAUUUAAUUUCCCAACUUGCAUCAGGCAAAGAUUAACCUUGCUGAAGGGCACCAGUGGAGCGGGGAGCAAUGUACAAAUUAAUCCCUGCUAUGAGUUUCUCCAGGAGGAAACACUGAGCAGGAUUAAAUAUUUAUUGUAUAUAAAUACCUUCUUUCCCACCUCCCCCAUUUCCCCUCCUGAUCUGCAUUUCAGGCUCCUUCCAGUUUGCCCAGCAAGAGUGCAAGGGUUUGUUUUUCCUCCUGGAUGAGGAGGAAGGUUUGAGGAAUAAUUCAUUUGCCACCUUGAUUUUUCCCUUCCCUCCCUUCCCAAGAUUGAUACCGUGGCACUUAAAGGGGAGAAAAUCAAGUUGUGCUGAUCUAUGACCAGGCACUAUUUAUUCUCAUCUGCAAUUUUCUUCAGCAUCCUCAGAAUUAAAAUCCCUUUGCAAUCUCUGCAGCUGCUGCAAUGUGCCAUUUCCCUGCCUGCCCUCCUCAGAUGUCUUUUCCCUCUGAUCAGGGCCCGCCGUUAUCGAUGAUGUGAUUCUGCUUUACAUUCUGAUGCUUCUGGGGUUUUUUGGGCCAUAAAUAAUGUUCCUGUGCAGCUCAGGCACAAUCA